rnacentral:rRNA from 1 species
AUGGGAACGCGAAGAACCUUACCUAGACUUGACAUCUCCUGAAUAGUGUAGAGAUACAUGAAGCCCUUCGGGGCAGGAAGACAGGUGGUGCAUGGUUGUCGUCAGCUCGUGUCGUGAGAUGUUGGGUUAAGUCCCGCAACGAGCGCAACCCCUAUUACUAGUUGCUACCAUUAAGUUGAGCACUCUAGUGAGACUGCCCGGGUUAACCGGGAGGAAGGCGGGGAUGACGUCAAAUCAUCAUGCCCCUUAUGUCUAGGGCAACACACGUGCUACAAUGGUGAGUACAGAUAGAUGCGAUACCGCAAGGUGGAGCCAAACUCUAAAACUCAUCCCAGUUCGGAUUGUAGGCUGCAACUCGCCUACAUGAAGUUGGAGUUGCUAGUAAUCGCGAAUCAGAAUGUCGCGGUGAAUACGUUCCCGGGUCUUGUACACACCG